UGGGGAAUUUUGGACAAUGGGCGAAAGCCUGAUCCAGCAAUGCCGCGUGUGUGAAGAAGGCCUUCGGGUUGUAAAGCACUUUUGUCCGGAAAGAAAUCCUUGGCUCUAAUACAGUCGGGGGAUGACGGUACCGGAAGAAUAAGCACCGGCUAACUACGUGCCAGCAGCCGCGGUAAUACGUAGGGUGCAAGCGUUAAUCGGAAUUACUGGGCGUAAAGCGUGCGCAGGCGGUUUGCUAAGACCGAUGUGAAAUCCCCGGGCUCAACCUGGGAACUGCAUUGGUGACUGGCAGGCUAGAGUAUGGCAGAGGGGGGUAGAAUUCCACGUGUAGCAGUGAAAUGCGUAGAGAUGUGGAGGAAUACCGAUGGCGAAGGCAGCCCCCUGGGCCAAAUACUGACGCUCAUGCACGAAAAGCGUGGGGAGCAAAACAGGAUUAGAUACCCUGGUAGUCCACGCCCUAAACGAUGUCAACUAGUUGUUGGGGAUUCAUUUCCUUAGUAACGUAGCUAACGCGUGAAGUUGACCGCCUGGGGAGUACGGUCGCAAGAUUAAAAACUUAAAUGAAUUGACGGGGUCAUAGCUGUUCCU
rnacentral:rRNA from 1 species